UUCUCUCUCUCUCUCUCUCUCUCUUCAUUCUUGCACACACACGCGCACACAUUCAAUCGCUUUUGCUCUCGUGAACCAGUCACGUGGCGCCACCUGGUUGAACAAACGCAAAAACAAUUAGCAUAUGCACAUGUAUAAAGGCAAAUGUACAUUUUUACACACGCUACUAUUUCGUGAUUAUUGUCUACGUAGAAAACGGCGUAAGCGAACGACAGUCGGCGCGGAUUGACGAGCCUGCGACACGAAACGUCGGGGAAGAGUCCGCGUCUCGUAAUCCGAGCAGAACUGUCGUCCGUUGCGCUUCCAAAAAGCUGUACAAAUACUUAAAAUAUUGCGUCCAACUUUAACUUCGUUAAGAACACGAGAGGCGCGCCUUUUCGAGCUUAUAUUGUUGCGAAGAAAUUCACUUCGAACGCGGGCCACUUUGUAUUCGACAAGUACAACGAGUUUAUUUGCCUGCAAACUUUAUUCCGAGGCGCGAAAUACAAAGUUACGCCUCACCUUUUGACGGACGGAGAACACGUGACCGUUCAUUUCCCUCGUAAAUAAACUCCCAUCGAAGGAAAAUGUGCUACGGAAUUUUAACCGACUCAACGCGACCGAUGGAUCGUCUUAAAGUUCCUUUCAAUCGUUGCUGCGAGGAUUUUCCGACUUUACGUUAACAAUCAUUUUUAUCCAAAGAGAUGUUUCAAGCUUAUGAAGUAUUUCGGAAAUUUACAGAGCCCCAAAUACUCUAAAAUAGUAUCGCAGUUUCAAUAUUUUUCACGAACGCAGCGAGACUCGCGAAUUAACGGAGAAAAAGUUUGGUGCGAUAUUCAGCGUGAGAAAAACAUCAAAUGAACUACGGACGUGGAAAAAAGCAACAAGAACGAAAAUAAAAUAAAAUAAAUCAUGUUUGAUUACAGUGUCGUUACGAUGCCGCGGCAGAGUGCCCAACCGCUCCCGCUUGCACAUUUUUUGACAAGCCUGCAACUUGACACAGAAAAAGUGCGUAUGCGUGCGAAUCAUAUCCGAGCCACGAGAUGCAACGUUGCUUUUUCUCCAAAUUACCGGUAAUCCGUCGCAGCGCGCGGGCACUUUUCGUCCUUUCAAAUCUGCAAACCACAUCCGGAAGUGGGAUCGCGCAUUCGACUGAUAUUUCGCUCAAAUCUCGUCGUGUCCGUGGCAUGUGCCUGGCAUGAAAAAAAAACAAGAAAUUCAAAGCGAUUGCAUCCUCCGGAUGGGAGCCUCGGAGACAAACUCUACGAUAUCGUUACGCUCGUAUUCGUCAUGAAGAGAGGAGAUACGAAAAGAGAACCGGAAGUGCGAAGGUGCAAAUUAGAAGGGAUGGCGCCACCGUCGUGCCACGGGACAACAAAACAGUGGAGAUUUAUUUCGCGACUCCUCGCCAAAGUGAGAGACGAGGCGAAGGAGAAAAAACUUGCAACUACAAUUGUGCGAGAACUGCGGGAAAUUUUGUGCGUCGUAUCCGUCGAAGGGCUGAAGGCUCGGGUGGGAUUAAUUGCCGUUGAUAAUUAAUAAGAAAACAAUGAACAAAUGUGAGUAUGAAGAAAAAUGAUAAAAUAAAAACAAAGGAAAGUCACAAUCCCUCGCGAUUCAUUAGUGGAUUAUUCGAAGCGAGCGCAAGUCGAUUAGCCAAUAUAUUUAUUUUAUGUGUUAAAAAAGACAGUAGGUUGAUAGUCGUGUAAUGACAACCCACGAGCAGAGGCUGUGUAUGAGUGCGGGGAAAUGGGAUGGGCUCAAAAAUAUUACGAGCUUUUCGUUCAAGGGCUUCGUAAUGGGCUACGUACACAAGGCGAGGUAUCGAUGCGUUCAUUUAUAUAUGUAUAUACGUGUACAUAUGUGAGUGCGAUACGUGUAUUUUAUAUAUACACAAACGCAUCGGUGUAAGGCGAAAUAUGAAUUGGGAAUCCGCGAACACUGUGCCACAAUCAAACUACCGCCAACCUCGAAACGUAAUAAAAUAAAAUAGAUAUUGCAGAAUGAGAAAGUAUCGUAUCUGAUAAAAGAGAAAAUAAUGUUUUUUUUUUUUUUUUUUUUUUUAAAUUGAGAGGAAAAAAAAUGUUUUUGCUUUUUUUUUUUUUUUUUCAAAACAAUAUUAAGUUGAAGAAAUUUUGUGAAAGUGAAAACAAAAGAAGUUUAUCAAAAAUCGACAAUUUAUAAACGAGACUUUAAAACCAUGAAAAAGGCGACCCACCGGUUGAGGCUGCCUGCCUCUCCCUCUGGCAGGUGGCGGAGGCGGCGCAUAAUAGUAAUCUUCGUAUCGAUAAUAGUCAUCGUAAUAUGGAUCACUGUAGCCACCUCGAUAAUCCCCAUAACCGUAAUAGUCGUAAUCAUAAUCUAUAAAAACACACAUUACAAAUAGACCCAAAUUUAAAAACCAAUUUGCUCUCGUUCUCUCUAUCUUUCUCUCUUUCGUUCGAUCUUUCUCUCGGUUGCACAACAAACUCUUCAAAUUUUAUAAACUUCUUUCUACGAAUCGAGUUUUUUGUUUUGCCGAUACAACAAAUGCAUGCCGGGAAAAGAUACGUUGAAGAAAAAAUUUAGAAAAAAAUACAUUUUUUUUUUCUCGCAUCGACGACAUUGAUUUUUAAUCCGCAGGGCCUCGUGGAAAACGAGAAAAACAAACCCGAAAGAAGCUACCGAUCUUCGACAAUCGGGGGGCGGGGGGCGGGUGCGGGGAACAAACAAAAUUUUGCAUUUCCAGAAAUCUCGCAACGACCUCCGCCUAAAAAUUUGCUCCGCUAGCCAAGCACUUCGUACAUUGUCGUAAAAAAUGUUCUUUCGGUUCCAUUAACGUCAUAAAAACGAAAAUAAAUAAAAAAAAAAAACGGUAGUUACUUUAAAAUACGGCUUUUCCGGAAAAAGACUUUUUUAUACGACAAUUUGGAAAAUUUUGUGAGAAUAUAUGACGACAAAGAGAAAAAAGAAAUUUUCGUUUGGUCAAUAAUGAUCACUGGACUGCUGAACAACUGACGGAAAGGGGACGAGAAAUAAAUCGUAGUUUUUCGGAAAAGCCGCACUUUUUCGCUCUUCAGUAAAAAAUCGGAGGCGAGCAAAAGAUUCUGGGGACCUGUUAACCAACGUUAUGCGAAUCGCCCGUAUAGCAGGAGUCGGCGCGAUGUAAAUUCUCGGCCCGUCGUCGGACCGGGGUGGAAAAAAAAAAUUGUUUUACCUCGCGUAUAUCCAGCAUUUCGGUAGAUGCGAAAAAAAAUCGAUGAGAAAUGAUUGUUCUCAAUGAACGUAAGCUGGACGCUGAUGAUAAGGGGGAAACGGAAAUCUCUGGCAAUAUUAUUUACGAGAAAGAUCAAGUAUUUAAGGUGAAAAAAAAUAAGUUUCUUUGCUACAGCAUUCACGUAAAUAAGUUGUAAUCCAGCUUACCCAUUUCCUUGGUAGCUAUAAACAGACCUGUUGAAAUUUUUUUUCGUUGUUUUUUCGUCUCAUAUAUUUCUAUAUAAUUCGCAGUGAAAACGAUACUACAUUACACACAACUACUACAUUUACUGGCACACGAUAUAAUUUGCGUUUGUGCGAAGAGCGAGAACGAAAAUUUGAACGAUGUAACAAUGAAAUAAAUUAAAUACAGUGUGCGGAA
rnacentral:lncRNA from 1 species